rnacentral:rRNA from 1 species
CGGAGGGUGCGAGCGUUAAUCGGAAUUACUGGGCGUAAAGCGCGCGCAGGCGGUUCGGUAAGUCAGAUGUGAAAUCCCCGGGCUUAACCUGGGAAUUGCAUUUGAUACUGCCGAACUAGAGUAUGGGAGAGGGAAGUGGAAUCUCCGGUGUAGCGGUGAAAUGCGUAGAGAUCGGAGGGAACACCAGUGGCGAAGGCGGCUUCCUGGCCCAAUACUGACGCUCAGGCGCGAAAGCGUGGGGAGCAAACAGGAUUAAAUACCCUGGUAGUUCCACGCCGUAAACGAUGAGAACCUGAUGUCGGGAGGGUCUGCCUCUCUGUGUCGGAGCUAACGCGUUAAGUUCUCCUCCUGGGGAGUACUGCCGCAAGGUUGAAACUUAAAGGAAUUGACGGGGGCCCGCACAAGCGGUGGAGCAUGUGGUUUAAUUCGAUGCAACGCGAAGAACCUUACCUGGUCUUGACAUCCACAGAACUUUCCAGAGAUGGAUUGGUGCCUUCGGGAACUGUGAGACAGGUGCUGCAUGGCUGUCGUCAGCUCGUGCCGUGAGGUGUCCGGUUAAGUCCGGUAACGAGCGCAACCCCUAUCUUUAGUUGCCAUCACUUCGGGUGGGCACUCUGAAGAGACUGCCAGCGACAAGCCGGAGGAAGGUGGGGACGACGUCAAGUCAUCAUGGCCCUUACGUCUUGGGCUACACACGUGCUACAAUGGCUAGUACAAUGGGUCGCAAACUCGCGAGGGUGAGCCAAUCCCAUCAAAGCUAGUCUCAGUUCAGAUUGCAGGCUGCAACUCGCCUGCAUGAAGUUGGAAUCGCUAGUAAUCGUGGAUCAGCAUUGCCACGGUGAAUACGUUCCCGGGCCUUG